ensembl:lncRNA
AUAUCCUGUAGAAUUUUGAAAACUGAAGAAGUUACAGCCAGAUCAAGACUGGUUUAAAUAUUUUUAAAUAUUUUUAAAUAUUAAUGUCUGUUCUCCUUUUCUGAAAAGUUGUUUAGCAAAUGCCUAUUUUUGUGGCUAAUAAAGAGGAAUACACCAAACUAUAAAAGAACUGAUUGUGUUUGCUAGAACUAUGGCCAAAAUCCAGCUAUGCCAGCAUGCUUCAUCUGACAAAGGUAUCACCAAGUGCUUUGAUAGAAGUCCUCUCAUAAAAGAUAUUGUGGAACAUCAGUGGGAUGAUUUUUUGUUUCAAAUUUCUGUUAUCUCUUACCAUGGUCUGACAUUUAAGCUUUUAAGUCUAUGUAGUUUUUCAAUACAAUUCUCUUUCAGACCUUAUGUUCUUGAGUAGUUCUACAUCUUUUACACGAAAUAAAUUAUCUAGAGACAAGACUAGACAAUAGGCAUAAAUUAACUUUGGAAAUCAUUUAAGGAUCAUUUGAUCAGCUGCUCCUUUGAAACUCUUUAUAAUGGUUGUUUUAAUGCUGUAAUUAGUCAAGAGGACCUGUAGUGUUUCUAAGUGGGAAAAGAGAGUCAAUAAAAAGAUAAAAAUCAUUCAAGAAAGUAAUUUAGAGAGUAAAUUGAAGAUAGGAGAGACCUGAACAGCUGUACAUUUCUAAUUAUUUUAAUGUAUGUGAGACUGAAUCCAGUGUGAAUAAAGAUGUAUUUUUUCCUCAUUGCAAAUAUUCUUGAAGCCACAAGAAGGCAUGUUGGGUAUUUCCCAUUUGUAAUAACAACAUCAUUAUGCUCUUAGAGUAGUGGGAGAAGAAAAGUUGAAAUGCUGCCAGAUGCAGUAUAUAUUUCUCAGUGGAGAAAUCUCUCUGAGUCUUUUGCUUGGUUCUGUUUUCAAAAUUUUCACUCAGAAGGGAAUCGCCUUUGCCUAUUUAAUUUCAUGACUCUUCACCUGAAAUUCUAAUAUGAUCAGUAUGUAAUUUCUGUGAUCUGUAUCCUGCCUUCUACUUGCAUGUACCAAGACAAGAGGAUAGAGGACUGUGACAUUCUUGAUUUUUCCUCAGGUAUGCACAAUUUACUGUAUCCCUGUCAUUAAAAAUCAAUUCCUGGCCAACUAUAGCCCAUAUUUCUUACUCUUCUUAACCUGUUGAGGCUUGUGCAGCUUCUGUACCUCAGAGUGUUUGCUCUACUACUUGUAUUGCUGUUCUGCAAUGGUCACAGAACUGGCACAGAAUACUUCCUUUGCGUCAUCAGUAAACUAUGGGAAGAAUUUGGAAAAUACAUGGAGCCUAAUACUAGGUAAUCAACGUUCUCUGUGGUCAGCAGUGCUCAGAGGGUGUGUCAUAUGAACUAAACCAUGUCAAUCAUGGGUGAAGUGUCUUUAAGAACUAGAAAAACAAGACUUCAAUGAAGUUUGUGUAUGUGAAUGAAUUUAUUAUAGUUGGCUGGUGGUGGGGAAUGCCAGCUACUGCAUGGCAUAAGGAAUUAGGGUCUGCAGAGGACAAUAGUAAUUUAUAAAUUCUUUGAAAAUAUUCUUGUGCGCAUACCCCUUCUUGAGUAAAAAUCUCAACUCAAAUAUUAUAUAUUUGCAUAUGUUACCUCUCCAAAGUGUACAGAUAUUAAUACUUUUGGAUGCUAAUCUGAGAUAUUUUUGAAGGCAGAGAACUGUGGACACUGUAUGUAGCCUGAGAAAGCACCAGAGAAAAGACAAAGCUGAAGUCCCACUCUGCUCUCCAGGCUGCUGACACUCUUUGUGUGUAUUCAUUGUUACAUCAAUAUGUCCCUCAAAGAUGAAAUAGAUAUCAGGAGAACUUCAGAGAAAUUAUUCACCUAAACCCUCACAUAAGAAGAAAGAAUUAUUUUCAUUGCACAUGCGAGAUAUUGCAGGCUGAAAUACCUGAAGAGAAUCACUGAUGAACACAAGCAUCCCAGCAUACCUACCAUCAACAACAAUUUGCUCAACUAGACACAUCUAAACAAAAUUUGGGAUAACACUCUUCAGCCAGGUAAGGCUGUUUGUGAAAGGAGUCUGCUUCUCAGACCCCCUGCCAGUCAACAUCUGCAGGCACAGGGGCUUCUGUCAUAGGGGCUUAUUUCGUACAGCAUAGGGGCUUAUGUCGGAAAAAGCUUCGUAACUGGGCUCCACUAAAGGCCACAGAGAAACAUGGGAGGAGACCAAGAAGCUGCAUCUCUUGGGUACGCUGACAUGAAAACAAACACGUACUGUUCUUGGGCAAGUGACCUCUUGAAAAAAUUAGCUAACCCCCAGAUUUUAACAUGCUAAACCAUAUUUGUCACAUUUGGACUGCCUACAGCAUGUGCACAUUUUGUCAGUUCUUUCACACCUUACCCAGAGCAACUACAUCUGACCAGAAUAAAACUCAGAAGGAGCAAUGUGGUCAGUGCUUGUGCAUCACCUUAGGCUCUUUUGGCCACUUUAAAGUGGUUCUUUUCUGUAAUACUCAAUAGCUUUUACCCUUCCAUGAGAUUUUUUUAUUUUUGUCAAGGUUUCAUUAACAUUAAAAUCAGGUUAUUUGAAGGAGGAGAAAUCCCAUUUCUUCUUCAUUUAAAUUUACUAUCAAAUUACUUGCUUUUGUAAUAACAAUAUGUUUUGCAUAGCAUCUAUGCUACAAGUACAACUUUAACAAAUUUCAUGUGUGAAUGUGGUUUAUCUUUGAAAAUUUUAAAGGAAAAGAGUAGGACUCCUCACAGCAAUCAUUCAAUAAUAGAAAUGCUUCAAAUUUCAAACCAUAUAGAUUUCGUCUGUUAUAUUUUUAAAUGUUUUCUUCACCCACAUUUGUUUUAACAAAAUACUUAAAAAAUAUUAGCACUCUGCUUUUAGUUUACUAGAAAGGAGCUUUUCCAUAGCAGAAAAUACUACUCUUUUGUUUUGACCACAGAUGAAGAAUGGCAGCUUUAGGACUAAAACAGAAGGCUGUACCUCCACUGUAUAAGCCACACAGCUAAAGCAAAGCAUGUAGAGCACCCAGUGCACGCAUUUUCAAGUCCAACUGGAGCCCACCCACUGGGUAUCUCUCAGCUGGAGACCAGGUCUGCAGGCUCUUCAGUCUUCACCCUGGUUUUCUUAGGUGCAAGAACUUCUAAAAAGAGCCUUCAGCUUAAGAAAUAUGGAAUCUAAGACACAUGGGGUUCUCAACCUCAGCCAAAAAUAGUCAGAAGUGGGAAAACCUGCUUACUUUACAAUUCUGCUCUGCUGAUGUACAUUCCUGGGAGGUUCGAUUCCAGGAUGAGUCAUGCCAGAAACUCUCCUGUAGUUAAGACAUCUUAAGGCUGUAAAGGGUCAAUAAAGUGAGGCAGCUCCUUUCAAGUGCAGGAAGCAUUUCCUUGAACCUCAAAAUCUAUGCCAUCUUCUAAAAAAUAAAUGCAAAGCGGAUAGAUAUUUCAGAAAGAACAAAUGAACAACAUGCAAACACCUUCACCUUAACCCAAGUUCCAGGGAUGCAGGACUUGAUGAUAAAAUGUUAUUUAGCAGCACUUCACCUCUAUAAAUCUGGUGUCACAUUAAAAGGAGACCAGUACAUUAAGUUCAUAGUAUUAAUGGGGAAACAAAGCCGUUGGAGGUGUAAUAACUUGAUCAAAACUAGAUCUGGGUUUACCUAUAUUGGAUUAGAUCCAUUUUAUCCAGAAAAUAUGCUGUCUCUGACUACAGCCACCAGAUACAUCCCAGGAAAUCAUAAGAAAACCCACUUACAUGUGUUGACAAAUCUACCUGUUUACAUUAUUGUGAGGUGCAGAAGGGAGACUGAUACAAUCGGUGAGUUAAAUCUUCAGUAAAAAAAAAAAAAAGGCACAGGAAAUUAUUAUUCUUUCCUUUCAUAUGAUACAAGUAGCUUGUAUGUGUGCUAGAAAAAAAAUAUGAAAAAGCUCAGAAUUGUAGUUUUAAUUACACUGUCACUGUCACACAACUCACCCUGAAAUUAGAGAGCCACCUAAAGAGUUUAGUUAAUCUGUCAUGUUUCUGAAGGCUGCAAAUCAAAGGACAUGAAGUCUUGUCUUUAACUGUUGAAAUGCAAAGUGAGAAUUCACCAAAAAUAUAAGGAACUUGUAUAAUACUGACAAUGGAUAAAUUUCAGCACUGGAGUGACACCCAGGGAAAUUUGCCACUUGAUUAUCUGAGGUUCAGGUAGUUAAUUUCAGCUAAAGCCAGAGGAAGCUGUAAAUUGCUUGCAGUGUUUUGACUGUCAAGAUUUCAGAAUCAUCAGGGACACAGAAAAACCAUACUUACUGCUGGUCUCAAGAGAUUUAAUGAAAAACAGCACCAAACUAGAAUAGAAAUGAAACGUUUAUUAACAUCCAAGUGUAAUCAAACUAAAAACCACCUCCCAUGGAAACAGCAGAGGAAGACACCUGUCCAACAAUAUUUUUCCAUCAGAUGCAAUGUAAACAAAUAAUUGGUUUGCAUUUUUCCAUUAGUUAAAAGUCAUAGUCUCCUCUGAGUGAGUUGAAGGGGUUCUGCUGUCUAUUUCAGCAUUCCGAUUAGGAAUUCUAUGUAAUAGUAUGUCAAAAGGAUGAUAUUUUACAUAGCUGCAUGAUUACCAGAAUUUUAGAACUUUUGUAAUUUGGAAAGAUCUAAGGUUUGUUAGAACUAUAAAUUUAAAUUAAGUAACAUUACAUAAAAUACACUACCAUUUUAUUUUAAACUUAACUGUUGUUAGUUCACUUAUUAAGGGCCUCCUGCUAAGACUAACCACUUUUACUGCUUAGUAACAACAAUACCAAAAAUCUGAUCUGGCAUUAAAGAGCUGUCAUGGAUGUGAAUGCUCUAUGCAUGAAUAUUAAAGACCAUCCCUAUCAGACCAUGAUAGUAAGAAUACAUAGAGAUAAUGGCUGACUUUGGGUGUGUCAUUUCAACUGAUGAUUCAGAGAUGAUCUCAAUCAUCAGAGUUGUAAGGACAACAUUGCUUAUUACAAAUUGUGCUUUAGAGAGCAAUUAAUUAUGGUCUGCCUAGCCCUAGACUGUUAUUAAGUGUGCAGUGUUACAACAUUUAAACACAGCUCUGAGUCUUAAUUACUCUGACACACAAAGUAUUCAUGUGUUAUGUAGAAUACCUUCUUUCAAUACUCUGCGUGUUCCAGGUCAUUCCUGCAACUGCUGUGAUUAAUAAAGACCCCUUGUGCAUAACAUCCAAGAAAUGAGCCAGGUGUAGCAAUGUACUAAAGCUUAUUGGUAUGAAGCAGUAAUUGCUACCACACAGCGUAGCUUUUUCUUGCCUUUCCUGCAACAGGAAAUGUAGACCCCACUCUGUACCACGGGCUCUGUUCUGCACUUGCUGAAGAAGAGAAAUGGUCAGCUCUGCUGCUGUGUGCACUUACACCGGCCUUCAAAGGGGCAGGUACUGAAAUGUAAAAAAAAAAAAAAAAAAAA